AAAUGGCUUGUAGCAGCCAAGCGUUCAUAGCGAUGUCACUUUUUGAUCCUUCGAUGUCGACUCUUUUUUCUUUUGAUGUGGGUUUGUUCUCUGAGCUGGAUGGUUUGGUCGUGGAGCUUUCAUCGUCCUUCUGAACGACAUCAUCAGCAUAAACUUCGGGUAGAAGUGAAGUGUUUGAAUUUUUCCACAUGUGAUUCACAGCUUGUCCUGUGCACAGGUGCACAGCUCAGAGAACAAACCCACAUCAAAAUCACCCACUUGAGCUACAAAUCUUCUCCACCAUGUCGACUCUGACUAUCAUUGUGAAGCAGAAUUCAUCAAGCGUUGGAUUGUUCACCCACUAAUAGGGAACGUGAGCUAUGUUUAGACCGUCGUGAGACAGGUU
rnacentral:ncRNA from 1 species